rnacentral:rRNA from 1 species
UACGGAGGGUGCAAGCGUUAAUCGGAAUUACUGGGCGUAAAGCGUACGCAGGCGGUUUGUUAAGUCAGAUGUGAAAGCCCCGGGCUCAACCUGGGAACUGCAUCUGAAACUGGGUAGCUUGAGUCUUGUAGAGGGGGGUAGAAUUCCAGGUGUAGCGGUGAAAUGCGUAGAGAUGUGGAGGAAUACCGGUGGCGAAGGCGGCCCCCUGGACAAAGACUGACGCUCAGGUGCGAAAGCGUGGGGAGCAAACAGG